GGUUGUGGCUCAGUGGUAGAGUGCUCGCCUAGCAUGCGUAAGCACUGGGUUCAAUCCUCAGGACCA
rnacentral:tRNA from 1 species